UGGGGAAUUUUGGACAAUGGACGAAAGUCUGAUCCAGCCAUGCCGCGUGCGGGAAGAAGGCCUUCGGGUUGUAAACCGCUUUUGUCAGGGAAGAAAUCCUUUGAGCUAAUACCUCGGGGGGAUGACGGUACCUGAAGAAUAAGCACCGGCUAACUACGUGCCAGCAGCCGCGGUAAUACGUAGGGUGCAAGCGUUAAUCGGAAUUACUGGGCGUAAAGCGUGCGCAGGCGGUUAUGUAAGACAGAGGUGAAAUCCCCGGGCUCAACCUGGGAACUGCCUUUGUGACUGCAUAGCUUGAGUGCGGCAGAGGGGGAUGGAAUUCCGCGUGUAGCAGUGAAAUGCGUAGAUAUGCGGAGGAGCACCGAUGGCGAAGGCAAUCCCCUGGGCCUGCACUGACGCUCAUGCGCGAAAGCGUGGGGAGCAAACAGGAUUAGAUACCCUGGUAGUCCACGCCCUAAACGAUGUCAACUGGUUGUUGGGAAGGUUCCUUCUCAGUAACGUAGCUAACGCGUGAAGUUGACCGCCUGGGGAGUACGGCCGCAAGGUUG
rnacentral:rRNA from 1 species